GCCCCUGUAGCUCAGUGGAUAGAGCACCGGCCUCCGGAGCCGGGUGCGUAGGUUCGAUUCCUACCAGGGGUACCA
rnacentral:tRNA from 1 species